AUAUUGUUUUAACUGUUUGAAAGCAAGGACUAACUUUUAUGUGAUAUACAUGUAGAAAAGUGGAGAUGUUUACUAAGUUAUUUUCAUCUAUCUAAACUUCGUAUAUUUUUGCGCCGUAUUGACGUAUAUGUUGAAUCCAAAAUAUCAGUUGAAUAUUGUAAAGAUUUUCAUUUAAUAUUACGUGUUUGUCUUCGUACUACGGCUUUGUGUUAUUGGCCAUUAAAUUCGCCAAUCCUAUAUUAGCGAAGGUAUUUGUAUUAUUUUUUCCAUUAGAUGUCACCGAACGUUAAGCAAUAUAUCAAGUAUCGCGGGUCAAAAUUGAAUUAAUAUUAGUGGAACACUUGAAAUGUGCUGGGAAUAUGUCAGCGUCUCUUUGUCAAAGUUAAAACUAUUUGCAUCACAAAGGGUAAAGAGUGUAAAGACUUAAAACCGUUAUGGUCUUACCAUGUUGUUGAGUUUUUUGUGAAACCGAAACAGCAUUUCCUUUUCCAGCAAAAUUAAAAGUGGCAACCUCGAUUAUGUAAUUGACAUGUCACAAACGAAGUUAGUCGACAGCAUACGUCGUAACCCAGUAUGUCACCGUUCUUGUCAGGAAGAAUUGGUGGCUGCCAAAUUACUCGUAAUGACGUUGCAUUGGAUGAUACGAAUACUGAGGAAGGGAUUUCAGCUAAGAAUGAGAAAUAUUUAUAAAAAUGAUAUAAUAGUAAAAUCAACAAUGGGUAAAACUAUCAAAGUCUGUAUUGCAUGAUUUGCAUGGCCAUCCAAGGAACACGGGGGGAGGCUUAAACCUUCUUACUUGACAUGCGAUGUACUGUAAUAACUAAAAUGUGCCCUUGCCUGGAGCACAGCCGUAUAACUCGACAUUCAUACAUUGAUGAGGACCACUAAAACUUUCCACAAUAAACCGAAUAUAACGUGCUA